rnacentral:rRNA from 1 species
AGCGAACGCUGGCGGCAGGCCUAACACAUGCAAGUCGAACGGAUCCUUCGGGAUUAGUGGCGGACGGGUGAGUAACACGUGGGAACGUGCCCUUUGGUUCGGAACAACUCAGGGAAACUUGAGCUAAUACCGGAUGUGCCCCUCGGGGGAAAGAUUUAUCGCCAUUGAAGCGGCCCGCGUCUGAUUAGCUAGUUGGUGAGGUAACGGCUCACCAAGGCGACGAUCAGUAGCUGGUCUGAGAGGAUGACCAGCCACAUUGGGACUGAGACACGGCCCAAACUCCUACGGGAGGCAGCAGUGGGGAAUCUUGCGCAAUGGGCGAAAGCCUGACGCAGCCAUGCCGCGUGGAUGAUGAAGGUCUUAGGAUUGUAAAAUCCUUUCACCGGUGAAGAUAAUGACUGUAGCCGGAGAAGAAGCCCCGGCUAACUUCGUGCCAGCCGCCGCGGUAA